rnacentral:rRNA from 1 species
GGGCACGACACCGGAGAGGGAGCCUGAGAAACGGCUACCACAUCCAAGGAUGGCAGCAGGCGCGCAAAUUACCCAAUCCCGACACGGGGAGGUAGUGACAAUAAAUAACAAUACGGGGUUCUUUAGGAUCUCGUAAUUGGAAUGAGUACAAUUUAAAUCUCUUAACGAGGAACAAUUGGAGGGCAAGUCUGGUGCCAGCAGCCGCGGUAAUUCCAGCUCCAAUAGCGUAUAUUAAAGUUGUUGCAGUUAAAAAGCUCGUAGUUGAAUUUCGGGGUUAGUAGGUUGGUCAUGCCUCUGGUAUGUACUGGUCUCACUGAUUCCUCCUUCCUGAUGAACCGUAAUGCCAUUAAUUUGGUGUUGCGGGGAAUUUGGACUGUUACUUUGAAAAAAUUAGAGUGUUUAAAGCAAGCUAACGCUUGAAUACAUUAGCAUGGAAUAAUGAAAUAGGACGUUCGAUCCUAUUUUGUUGGUUUCUAGGAUUGACGUAAUGAUUAAUAGGGAUAGUUGGGGGCAUUAGUAUUCAAUUGUCAGAGGUGAAAUUCUUGGAUUUAUUGAAGACUAACUACUGCGAAAGCAUUUGCCAAGGAUGUUUUCAUUAAUCAAGAACGAAAGUUAGGGGAUCGAAGACGAUCAGAUACCGUCGUAGUCUUAACCAUAAACUAUGCCGACUAGGGAUCGGAUGAUGUUAAUUUUUUAAUGACUCAUUCGGCGCCUUACGGGA